rnacentral:rRNA from 1 species
AGAGUUUGAUCAUGGCUCAGAUUGAACGCUGGCGGCAUGCCUUACACUUGCAAGUCGAACGGCAGCACGGGAGCAAUCCUGGUGGCGAGUGGCGAACGGGUGAGUAAUAUAUCGGAACGUGCCCAGUCGUGGGGGAUAACGCAGCGAAAGCUGUGCUAAUACCGCAUACGAUCUAUGGAUGAAAGCGGGGGACUCGCAAGAGCCUCGCGCGAUUGGAGCGGCCGAUAUCAGAUUAGCUUGUUGGUGGGGUAAAAGCCCACCAAGGCGACGAUCUGUAGCUGGUCUGAGAGGACGACCAGCCACACUGGAACUGAGACACGGUCCAGACUCCUACGGGAGGCAGCAGUGGGGAAUUUUGGACAAUGGGCGCAAGCCUGAUCCAGCAAUGCCGCGUGCAGGAUGAAGGCCUUCGGGUUGUAAACUGCUUUUGUACGGAACGAAACGGCUCUUUCUAAUAAAGAGGGCUAAUGACGGUACCGUAAGAAUAAGCACCGGCUAACUACGUGCCAGCAGCCGCGGUAAUACGUAGGGUGCGAGCGUUAAUCGGAAUUACUGGGCGUAAAGCGUGCGCAGGCGGUUAUAUAAGACAGAUGUGAAAUCCCCGGGCUCAACCUGGGACCUGCAUUUGUGACUGUAUAGCUAGAGUACGGUAGAGGGGGAUGGAAUUCCGCGUGCAGCAGUGAAAUGCGUAGAUAUGCGGAGGAACACCGAUGGCGAAGGCAAUCCCCUGGACCUGUACUGACGCUCAUGCACGAAAGCGUGGGGAGCAAACAGGAUUAGAUACCCUGGUAGUCCACGCCCUAAACGAUGUCAACUGGUUGUUGGGUCUUCACUGACUCAGUAACGAAGCUAACGCGUGAAGUUGACCGCCUGGGGAGUACGGCCGCAAGGUUGAAACUCAAGGAAUUGACGGGGACCCGCACAA